rnacentral:rRNA from 1 species
AUUGAACGCUGGCGGCAGGCCUAACACAUGCAAGUCGAGCGAGCGGCGGACGGGUGAGUAAUGUAUGGGGACUGCCCGAUAGAGGGGGAUAACUACUGGAAACGGUGGCUAAUACCGAAUACUAUCGGAUCACAUAUAUGGGAUUAGCUAGUAGGUGGGGUAAAGGCUCACCUAGGCGACGAUCUCUAGCUGGUCUGAGAGGAUGAUCCGCCACCCGGUGACGGGGACACGGCCCAGACUCCUACGGAGGCAGCAGUAGGGAAUAUUGCACAAUGGGCACUAGCCUGCUGCGCCCAUGCCGCGUGUAUGAAGAAGGCCUUAGGGUUGUAAAGUACUUUCAGCGGGGAGGCGUUACCCACCGAAGAAGCACCGGCUAACUCCGUGCCAGCAGCCGCGGUAAUAC